AUCCUGACCACGGCUUUGAGAGCUGCCGGCUCUGUUUGCUCAUCGCUUCACGGAUGAUGUCGAGGGAACCCACACAUCAAACUACAUGGUGGAAUUAACAGCGUUAAUGCCAGUUCCACGGCUGUGGUGUUGCUCGUGUGCUCACCCACGGACCCUGUGUACUGGGAUCACCUGCGUACUUCCUGUUUUGACAAGUCGUGAAAAAGGGGAUCCAUGAUCGCCCAAACUACAAAAAUAACAUGUUGUUGUAAACCGGAAUUAUUCACCAUUCCCUUUCAUCCCGACGGUGACAAAUAGAAGCUGUCACUUCAUUGCGGAUGAAAUGCUUCAGGGAAUCCAGCUUCUAAUCCAACACUGUCAAAGCUGUUGUUUGUAUUUACAAUGAGAUAAACAGAUGUAGACCUUUCGUGUUCAAAAUUGCAAACGCAGCACUUUCUGAAUUUUGACGUGUAUGUUGUUUUUUUUUCUUCUUCUGCUAUUUCCCUAUCUAUGCAAAAUGCAUCAAAAAUAUGUUCUUUAUGAUGUGUUGCCCAACACACACGUUUGUUGACGUGAAGAUGACACGAAGCUGUGACUGGUUAGAAGACUAGAAACGACAUGUUUAGUCUCUAGUGAGGACUACGGUCAUUUGUGUGUUUUUUUUGGUUGAAUUUCUUUUUGUGUUUUUGUUUCUUUCGGUUGCCUGUGAGCAAAGUAUUCAAUUACAACAGCAAUAACACUUAAUCCACCCUGACAGCAAAGAACUGUGCUAUUCAUUGGAAACAAGAUGGUGCGCCAUAAAGGUGAUGGAAACCCUUUAUAGCUGCCUGUUCAGCCAUUUCUCUUGGCGGGCAUAAAAAGGCUAAAUAUGUUAGCCAAACUAAACUUGAUCCAUAACAUCAUUAGAGAUGCUUCCGAGUUGUGCCAAGAUGAUUUACAGACCAAAUUAAAAUGUAAUAUUUUGCUCAAGUGUUGCGUUUCCUCUUUGUUGGUCAUCUUUGCGUUUGAAAAGGUGCGAGUGUGUGAAGCAGCCUGCCGUGAACGCCGAAAAUGAGACUGGCCCCAUGAAAGCCUUUUUGAUUCAUUGGAAGAGGUGAUGGACAAAAAGGGUGCGCCAGGUACAUUCGAUUGAUGACGAGGCCGCGGCGACGGGGUUAGAUGUGAAGGGACAUGAAAGACGGAAAAGGGACUUGCAAUGCCCCAUCUGUUUGCUACGGGCGAGGGAAGUAAUGACGGAUUCAUUGUUCACUCAAUUAGAAUUCAAAGAGACAGCGGGGGGAGAGAGAGAGAGAGAGGGAGAGAGAGAGGGAGCCUGGCGUGUUGAAGAGCCCCUGUGAAGAGAGUGUGAUUUCACAGGCCAAGUGUGAAUGGCUAACACGGCUGAGCGAGGGAGGUGAGAGCAGAGCCCGAGGUGACGGAGGCAGAGGAGAUCAGCUGAGGGAGGAGAGAGAGACAGAGACAGAGAGAGACACAGAGAGAGAGAGACUUUCAUGCAGCGGAAACUUUUACAAGAGCCUUUAAAAAAAAAAGAAAUACUGCAAUUUCUUUCUUUCAGUUUUGGGCUCCACUGGACUGCAGUUCCUGUUCCCAAAAAUGUCAUUGUCCUUGAACUUCCCAAUGGCCAGUUAAAUGCUUUUAAUGUGAACUGGCAGCAGGAGGAAAUGUUCCGUUUGCAUUAAGAGCAACUUAAUACGUCCCUGGAAUGAACAGUGAACAGAAGUUUGCCUUAAGGGCUUCUUACUAAAAGGGGUUUAUUUAACCCCAAAACC
ensembl:lncRNA